rnacentral:snoRNA from 10 species
AUCCUUUCAUAAGCUUGAAGAUUGGGGUUUCACGCUCAUGCGUGAGAUGUCCCUCUCUCAAACCUUGCUAUGAAGUCAGCACCAU